GGAGUUGUGGCUCAGUGGUAGAGUGCUCGCCUCGCAUGUCUGAGACCCUGGGUUCGAUCCUCAGCACCA
rfam:Ictidomys tridecemlineatus contig111616, whole genome shotgun sequence.